AGAGUUUGAUCCUGGCUCAGGAUGAACGCUGGCGGCGUGCUUAACACAUGCAAGUCGAACGAAGCACUUUAUUUGAUUUCCUUCGGGACUGAUUAUUUUGUGACUGAGUGGCGGACGGGUGAGUAACGCGUGGGUAACCUGCCUUGUACAGGGGGAUAACAGUUGGAAACGGCUGCUAAUACCGCAUAAGCGCACAGCAUCGCAUGAUGCAGUGUGAAAAACUCCGGUGGUAUAAGAUGGACCCGCGUUGGAUUAGCUAGUUGGUGAGGUAACGGCCCACCAAGGCGACGAUCCAUAGCCGACCUGAGAGGGUGACCGGCCACAUUGGGACUGAGACACGGCCCAAACUCCUACGGGAGGCAGCAGUGGGGAAUAUUGCACAAUGGGCGAAAGCCUGAUGCAGCGACGCCGCGUGAGCGAAGAAGUAUUUCGGUAUGUAAAGCUCUAUCAGCAGGGAAGAUAAUGACGGUACCUGACUAAGAAGCACCGGCUAAAUACGUGCCAGCAGCCGCGGUAAUACGUAUGGUGCAAGCGUUAUCCGGAUUUACUGGGUGUAAAGGGAGCGCAGGCGGUGCGGCAAGUCUGAUGUGAAAGCCCGGGGCUCAACCCCGGUACUGCAUUGGAAACUGUCGUACUAGAGUGUCGGAGGGGUAAGCGGAAUUCCUAGUGUAGCGGUGGAAUGCGCAGAUAUCGGGUGGAACACCGGUGGCGAAGGCGGCCCUCUGGGCCGAGACCGACGCUGAGGCGCGAAAGCUGGGGGAGCGAACAGGAUUAGAUACCCUGGUAGUCCCAGCCGUAAACGAUGGACGAUGAGGUGGGGGGGGACGAUCCCCCCGCGCACGCAGCCAAAAACAUUAAGCGUCCCGCCUGGGGAGUAAGGCCGCAAGGCUAAAACUCAAAGGAAGUGACGGGGGGCCCGCACAAGCAGCGGAGCAUGUGGCUUAAUUCGAAGCAACGGGAAGAACCUUACCAGGGCUUCACAUAUGGGUGAAGCGGGGGAGACCCCGUGCCCGAGAGGAGCCCAUACAGGUGGUGCAUGGCUGUCGUCAGCUCGUGUCGUGAGAUGUUGGGUUAAGUCCCGCAACGAGCGCAACCCCUAUCUUCAGUAGCCAGCAGGUAAGGCUGGGCACUCUGGAGAGACUGCCAGGGAUAACCUGGAGGAAGGCGGGGAUGACGUCAAAUCAUCAUGCCCCUUAUGACUUGGGCUACACACGUGCUACAAUGGCGUAAACAAAGGGAAGCAAAGCUGUGAAGCCGAGCAAAUCUCAAAAAUAACGUCUCAGUUCGGACUGUAGUCUGCAACCCGACUACACGAAGCUGGAAUCGCUAGUAAUCGCAGAUCAGAAUGCUGCGGUGAAUACGUUCUCGGGCCUUGUACACACCGCCCGUCA
rnacentral:rRNA from 1 species